AUUGAACGCUGGCGGCAUGCUUUACACAUGCAAGUCGAACGGCAGCGCGGGCUUCGGCCUGGCGGCGAGUGGCGAACGGGUGAGUAAUGCAUCGGAACGUGCCCAGUAGUGGGGGAUAGCCCGGCGAAAGCCGGAUUAAUACCGCAUACGACCUGAGGGUGAAAGCGGGGGACCGAAAGGCCUCGCGCUAUUGGAGCGGCCGAUGUCGGAUUAGCUAGUUGGUGGGGUAAAGGCUUACCAAGGCGACGAUCCGUAGCUGGUCUGAGAGGACGACCAGCCAAAAUUGGACUGAGACACGGGCCAGACUCCUACGGGAGGCAGCAGUGGGGAAUUUUGGACAAAGGGGGCAACCCUGAUCCAGCCAUGCCGCGUGCGGGAAGAAGGCCUUCGGGUUGUAAACCGCUUUUGUUCGGGAAGAAAUCCUCUGGGCUAAUACCCCGGGGGGAUGACGGUACCGGAAGAAUAAGCACCGGCUAACUACGUG
rnacentral:rRNA from 1 species